rnacentral:rRNA from 1 species
UGAUGCGAUCAUACCAGCACUAAAGCAUCGGAUCCCAUCAGAACUCCGAAGUCAAGCGUGAUUGGGCGAGAGUAGUAUUAGGAUGGGUGACUUCCUGGGAAGUUCUCGUGUUGCAUUGC